UGGUCGGCAGUUCACCAAGGCGUCGCUGCUCCGGAAGGAGAGCUAAACCUGCCA
rfam:Beijerinckia indica subsp. indica ATCC 9039, complete genome.